GAUGAAGAACGUAGCGAAAUGCGAUAACUAAUGUGAAUUGCAGAAUUCCGUGAAUCAUCGAGUCUUUGAACGCACAUUGCGCCCCCUGGUAUUCCGGGGGGCAUGCCUGUCCGAGCGUCAUUGCUGCCCAUCAAGCACGGCUUGUGUGUUGGGUCCCGUCCCCCUCUCCCGGGGGACGGACCCGAAAGGCAGCGGCGGCACCGCGUCCGGUCCUCGAGCGUAUGGGGCUUUGUCACCCGCUCUUGUAGGCCCGGCCGGCGCUUGCCGACACCCAACCAUUUUUUUCAGGUUGACCUCGGAUCAGGUAGGGAUACCCGCUGAACUUAAGCAUAUCAAAAGCGGAGGA
rnacentral:misc_RNA from 1 species